rnacentral:rRNA from 1 species
UGCAGUCGAACGAUGAAGCCGCUUCGGUGGUGGAUUAGUGGCGAACGGGUGAGUAACACGUGGGCAAUCUGCCCUGCACUCUGGGACAAGCCCUGGAAACGGGGUCUAAUACCGGAUAUGAUCACCGGCCGCAUGGUCUGGUGGUGGAAAGCUCCGGCGGUGCAGGAUGAGCCCGCGGCCUAUCAGCUUGUUGGUGGGGUGAUGGCCUACCAAGGCGACGACGGGUAGCCGGCCUGAGAGGGCGACCGGCCACACUGGGACUGAGACACGGCCCAGACUCCUACGGGAGGCAGCAGUGGGGAAUAUUGCACAAUGGGCGCAAGCCUGAUGCAGCGACGCCGCGUGAGGGAUGACGGCCUUCGGGUUGUAAACCUCUUUCAGCAGGGAAGAAGCGCAAGUGACGGUACCUGCAGAAGAAGCACCGGCUAACUACGUGCCAGCAGCCGCGGUAAUACGUAGGGUGCGAGCGUUGUCCGGAAUUAUUGGGCGUAAAGAGCUCGUAGGCGGCCUGUCGCGUCGGAUGUGAAAGCCCGGGGCUUAACCCCGGGUCUGCAUUCGAUACGGGCAGGCUAGAGUUCGGUAGGGGAGAUCGGAAUUCCUGGUGUAGCGGUGAAAUGCGCAGAUAUCAGGAGGAACACCGGUGGCGAAGGCGGAUCUCUGGGCCGAUACUGACGCUGAGGAGCGAAAGCGUGGGGAGCGAACAGGAUUAGAUACCCUGGUAGUCCACGCCGUAAACGUUGGGAACUAGGUGUGGGCGACAUUCCACGUCGUCCGUGCCGCAG